ACCGGGCAUGGUGGUGCAUGCCUGUAAUCCCAGUGGCUCGGGAGGCUGAGGCAGGAGGAUCAGAAGUUCAAAACCAGCCUCAGCAAAAGUGAGGCACUAUGCAACUCAGUGAGACCCUGUCUCUA
rnacentral:sRNA from 1 species